GACAUAGGUGGCGAACGUUAUCCGGAAUUAUUGGGCGUAAAGGAUGCGUAGAUGGUAGAAUAAGUUGCUGGUCGAUGCCAAACUCAAUUUGACGGAAGCUAGCAAUACUGUUCUGCUAGAGGGCAGGAGAGGUUGAUGGAAUUCUGUGUGGAGCGGUGAAAUGCGCAGAUAUCAGGAAGAACACCCGUGGCGAAGGCGGCUCUCUGGGACGUGACUGACGCUGAGACGCGAAAGCGUGGGGAGCAAACAGG
rnacentral:rRNA from 1 species